AUUGAACGCUGGCGGCAUGCCUUACACAUGCAAGUCGAACGGUAACAGGUCUUCGGAUGCUGACGAGUGGCGAACGGGUGAGUAAUACAUCGGAACGUGCCUAGUAGUGGGGGAUAACUACUCGAAAGAGUGGCUAAUACCGCAUGAGAUCUACGGAUGAAAGCAGGGGAUCGCAAGACCUUGUGCUACUAGAGCGGCCGAUGGCAGAUUAGGUAGUUGGUGGGAUAAAAGCUUACCAAGCCGACGAUCUGUAGCUGGUCUGAGAGGACGAUCAGCCAAACGGGAACGGCGACACGGCCCAGACUCCUACAGUAGGCAGCUGUGGGGAAUUUUGGACAAUGGGCGAAUGCCUGAUCCAGCAAUGCCGCGUGCAGGAUGAAGGCCUUCGGGUUGUAAACUGCUUUUAUACGGAACGAAAAGCCCUGGGUUAAUACCCUGGGGUCAUGACGGUACCGUAAGAAUAAGCACCGGCUAACUACGUGCCAGCCGCCGCCGUAACAC
rnacentral:rRNA from 1 species